CUUCUGGCUUCCCGGUGGGGGUAUCCAAGGGUCCAUAAACCUCUGCUCUAAAUCGCUGUGUUCAUGGUUAACCUGGUGUAAUUAAUGUGAAAUUCAGCUCCAGAUAUCCAAAAUCUCUACGUGCCAUAAAUAAAUAAAUAAAUAAAUAAAUAAAUAAAAUAUGUGCUUAGAAUCAAGGAGGCAGGCCAGAUUUUCAUGUUAAUGGCUGACGGUGACCCCUCCAAAGGGCAUGCCAAGGGUGAGAGAGGGGAAGCUGUUUCUGACCCCCCAAGCAUAGUACAGAUUUGUCUGAAUGGCUCUCAGGGAGGAUUCUUACCAGAAAAAGACUCUGUCAAGUUCCUGGUAAUCUGAUUUGUUGAACUAUGGAAUCCUUUUACCAAAAGAAGAGUGGUGACAACUAGUCUCAUCUGGUAUUCUCCAAGUUCCCAGUAAGUACUAUCAGUAUUAUUCAGGUGUGCAUAAAAUUACUUUGUUAAUGCAAAUCAGAUCUGAGAAAGGUAUGCUAUAAGUUCUUUAUACGUAAGUUAUUAUUAUUUCAUCUGCUACUUGGAAUUAAGGCCGCUUGUGGAGCCUUAUGUCAAGGAGGCUGCCAGUGUACUGUCUCCUUCAGAAAAGGUAGGACUGUCACCUCUUGAAAUGCGGCUGGCAGAGCACGAGGACACACUUUUUCCUAUUGUUCCCUGGCUGUCAUGAACUGGGUGGAUUGAUAAUUAGUCUGAGAGUCCACGUUAUCAAACAUCCAGCCUGAGAAUGAGAUUCAUGUACAUAGUGUUCAAUAUUCUUUUCUUGUGUACUAACUUAGUGACAUAUUUUGAGAAGGAAAUCAAAUUUCCUGUUUCUGUUAUUAACUCUCUUUGGAAAACUGUUUUUACCCUUGCAAAGUGCAAUUCUGUAAAAUUAUAAGUUAUAAUAAUGCAGGUCUUCAAAGUAUAUGGAUAAGAAGAGAAGGUUUCAGGACAUAGAGAACCUCUAAUAGAGUGCUGAUUUUUUUUG
rnacentral:lncRNA from 1 species